rnacentral:rRNA from 1 species
AUUGAACGCUGGCGGCAUGAUUUACACAUGCAAGUCGAACGGUAACAGGCCGCAAGGUGCUGACGAGUGGCGAACGGGUGAGUAAUGCAUCGGAACGUGCCCAGUCGUGGGGGAUAACUACUCGAAAGAGUAGCUAAUACCGCAUACGAUCUAUGGAUGAAAGCGGGGGACCGUAAGGCCUCGCGCGAUUGGAGCGGCCGAUGUCAGAUUAGGUAGUUGGUGGGGUAAAGGCUCACCAAGCCAACGAUCUGUAGCUGGUCUGAGAGGACGACCAGCCACACUGGGACUGAGACACGGCCCAGACUCCUACGGGAGGCAGCAGUGGGGAAUUUUGGACAAUGGGCGCAAGCCUGAUCCAGCAAUGCCGCGUGCAGGAAGAAGGCCUUCGGGUUGUAAACUGCUUUUGUACGGAACGAAACGGCUCUGGUUAAUACCCGGGGCUAAUGACGGUACCGUAAGAAUAAGCACCGGCUAACUACAUG